UACGUAGGUGACCAGCGUUGUCCGGAUUUACUGGGCGUAAAGAGCGCGCAGGCGGUCGUACAAGUCGCGUGUGAAAGCCCCCGGCUCAACUGGGGAGGGUCACGCGAUACUGUUCGACUCGAAGGCAGGAGAGGGAAGUGGAAUUCCCGGUGUAGUGGUGAAAUGCGUAGAUAUCGGGAGGAACACCAGUGGCGAAGGCGACUUCCUGGCCUGUUCUUGACGCUGAGGCGCGAAAGCUAGGGUAGCAAACGGG
rnacentral:rRNA from 1 species